GAAUAAGGGCCUGAUCCAAAGUAGGCUGAAGUCAAUGGGAGUCUUUCCAUUGAUUUCAACGGGCUUUGGAUCAGGUCCAAAAGAC
rnacentral:pre_miRNA from 1 species